AUGUGGAUGACGACACAGUCAUGGGACUUGAACUUGGAGAAGUUGCUGAAGAUGAUUGUGUCUGUGACUUCAGCAGUUGUGCUUGUCCCUUCGGAUGUGGAUGACGAGACAGUCGUGGGACUUGAACUUGGAGAAGUUGCUGAAGAUGAUGUGGCUGUGACUUCAGCAGUUGUGCUUGUCCCUUCAGAAGUGGAUGACGACACAGUCGUGGGACUUGAACUUGGAGAAGUUGCUGAAGAUGAUGUGUCUGUGACUUCAGCAGUUGUGCUUGUCCCUUCGGAUGUGGAAGACGAGACAGUCGUGGGACUUGAACUUGGAGAAGUUGCUGAAGAUGAUGUGUCUGUGACUUCUUUAGUUGUGCUUGUGCCUUCAGAAGUGGAUGAUGACACAGUCGUGGGACUUGAAGUAGCUGAAGAUGAUGUUGCUGUGACUUCAGCAGUUGUGCUAGUCCCUUCAGCUGUGGAUGACAACACAGUCGUGGGACUUGAACUUGGACAAAUUGCUGAAGAUGAUGUGGCUGUGACUUCAGCAGUUGUGCUUGUCCCUUCAAAAGUGGAUGACGACACAGUCGUGGGACUUGAAGUAGCUGAAGAUGAUGUGUCUGUGACUUCUGCAGUUGUGCUUGUCCCUUCGGAUGUGGAUGACGAGACAGUCGUGGGACUUGAACUUGGAGAAGUUGCUGAAGAUGAUGUUGCUGUGACUUCAGCAGUUGUGCUAGUCCCUUCAGAUGUGGAUAACGAGACGGUCGUGGGACUUGAACUUGGAGAAGUUGCUGAAGAUGAUGUGGCUGUGACUUCAGCAGUUGUGCUUGUCCCUUCGGAUGUGGAUGACGACACAGUCGUGGAACUUGAACUUGGAGAAAUUGCUGAAGAUGUUGUGUCUGUGACUUCUGCAGUUGUGCUUGUCCCUUCUGAUGUGGAUGACGACACAGUCGUGGGACUUGAACUUGGAGAAGUUGCUGAAGAUGUUGUGGCUGUGACUUUAGCAGUUGUGCUUGUGCCUUCAGAAGUGGAUGACGACACAGUCGUGGGACUUGAAGUAGCUGAAGAUGAUGUUGCUGUGACUUCAGCAGUUGUGCUUGUCCCUUCAGAAGUGGAUGACGACACAGUCGGGACUUGA
rnacentral:lncRNA from 1 species